AACGAACGCUGGCGGCAUGCCUAACACAUGCAAGUCGAACGAGACCUUCGGGUCUAGUGGCGCACGGGUGCGUAACGCGUGGGAAUCUGCCCUUGGGUUCGGAAUAACAGCCGGAAACGGCUGCUAAUACCGGAUGAUGACGUCAGUCCAAAGAUUUAUCGCCCUAGGAUGAGCCCGCGUUGGAUUAGCUAGUUGGUAGGGUAAAGGCCCACCAAGGCGACGAUCCUUAGCUGGUCUGAGAGGAUGAUCAGCCACACUGGGACUGAGACACGGCCCAGACUCCUACGGGAGGCAGCAGUGGGGAAUAUUGGACAAUGGGCGAAAGCCUGAUCCAGCAAUGCCGCGUGAGUGAUGAAGGCCUUAGGGUUGUAAAGCUCUUUUACCCGGGAUGAUAAUGACAGUACCGGGAGAAUAAGCUCCGGCUAACUCCGUG
rnacentral:rRNA from 1 species